rnacentral:rRNA from 1 species
CGUAGACGGUUUUGUAAGUCAGAUGUGAAAUCCCUGGGCUCAACCUGGGAACUGCAUUUGAUACUGCAUGGCUAGAGUAUGGAAGAGGGAAGUGGAAUUUCCGGUGUAGCGGUGAAAUGCGUAGAUAUCGGAAGGAACACCAGUGGCGAAAGCGACUUCCUGGUCCAAUACUGACGUUCAUGUGCGAAAGCGUGGGGAGCAAACAGGAUUAGAUACCCUGGUAGUCCACGCCAUAAACGAUGACAACUAGAUGUUGGGAGGGUCUGCCUCUCGGUGUCGCAGCUAACGCGUUAAGUUGUCCGCCUGGGGAGUACGGCCGCAAGGUUGAA